rnacentral:misc_RNA from 1 species
AUCUUAUUCUCAAUUCAGGUGGCAGAGAAGGCUUGUCUUUUCUCUACACUUUGUGUUGGAUGGUGAAGGUUGCUGGGCCUUGCUGGUUCAGCUCCUUUGAAAUGCAUUGAAGCAAGUUGACAAGAACCAGCUUACAGUUUGAUAGGGUUCUAGCUGUUUGCUGUGAAGUUGACUUAUGCUUUUUGGUCUCUGAUGAGACUGCUCAAUUUUAUGAGCAAUAUGUUGUUA